rnacentral:rRNA from 1 species
ACUAGGAGUUUGCGAUACACAGUAAGCUCUACAGCGAAAGCGUUAAGUAAUCCACCUGGGGAGUACGCCGGCAACGGUGAAACUCAAAGGAAUUGACGGGGGCCCGCACAAGCGGAGGAACAUGUGGUUUAAUUCGAUGAUACGCGAGGAACCUUACCCGGGUUUGAACGUAGUCAGACCGGCCUUGAAAGAGGUCUUCUAGCAAUAGCUGAUUACGAGGUGCUGCAUGGUUGUCGUCAGCUCGUGCCGUGAGGUGUCGGCUUAAGUGCCAUAACGAGCGCAACCCUUAUCACUAGUUACUAACAGGUCGUGCUGAGGACUCUGGUGAGACUGCCAGCGUAAGCUGUGAGGAAGGUGGGGAUGACGUCAAAUCAGCACGGCCCUUACAUCCGGGGCGACACACGUGUUACAAUGGCAUGGACAAAGGGCAGCUACCUGGCGACAGGAUGCUAAUCUCUAAACCAUGUCUCAGUUCGGAUCGGAGUCUGCAACUCGACUCCGUGAAGCUGGAUUCGCUAGUAAUCGCGCAUCAGCCAUGGCGCGGUGAAUACGUUCCCGGGCCUUGUACACACCGCCCGUCAAGCCAUGGGAGCCGGGGGUACCUGAAGUCCGUAACCGCAAGGAUCGGCCUAGGGUAAAACUGGUGACUGGGGCUAAGUCGUAACAAGGUAGCCGUACCGGAAGGUGCGGCUG